GACUCACAAGUGAAGGGUAUAGAGUGCUCUUUCAUGGGGAGGUUUGUCUAAUUUCUGAAAAUGGCAAACUAUAUGGAAAGGCAAUUAAAGAAAAUGGUCUAUACAGAUUGAUAGACAUAUAUGAUAGUGAAGAAGAUAGUGAUGAUGCUAUAAAUUGUAUUUCGAAUAAACCUUUGCAUAUUUCUUGCAUACAUUAUUACCAUAGAAUUUUCGGACAUUGUUCUUUCUCCAGAGUAAAACAUAUGGCUAAACUAUCUAAUAUUGAAACUAAACCUUGUGANAAAUAUCUAGAAUGUAGAGUUUGUGCAGAAACCAAGGUAAAAGCAUUUCCUAUAGCCAAAUACAGUGAUAGGAGAUCAACGAAACCUUUUCAGUUAGUCCAUACAGAUGUUGCUGGUCCAUUCAGCCCAAGUCAGGGAGGCCAUAAAUGGAUUAUGGUAAUUAUUGAUGAUUAUAGCAGAUUUACAUACACAUAUUUACUUAAGUCAAAGGCUCAGGUGUAUGAUAAAAUGAAGGACUGGCUGAACAUGAUUUCUACCCAGUUUGGUUGUACAAUGCAGAAGGUACAAUCUGAUAGAGGAGAAAUGAUGUCUAAGGCUAUAGCAGAUUUGUUUAGAACACGAGGCAUUAUACAUAGAAAGACCAAUCCGUACUGUUCAACUGAAAAUGGUGUAGCUGAACAACGAAUUGGAUUAAUUCAAGAAAUGUACAGGGCCAUGUUAUCUGAUGCUAAAAUGCCACAUUAUUUCUGGGGAGAAGCAGUAGCUACUAGUACUUAUGUUUUGAACCAAAUAUAUUCUUCUACUGUUGGUAACAUUCCAUAUUUUAUGUUAUAUGGUAAGGAACCUGACGUAAAGCACAUGAGGAUCUUUGGCUCAUAUGCUCAUGUACUGAUACCCAGGGCACAAAGAAAAAAGAGAGACAAAAUUUCACAGAGGUUAUGUUUUGUUGGGUAUGAAGAAAAUACAAAGGGGUAUCGUUUCUCUCUGAGUUAUGGUAAAGUAGUGGUGUCAAGGAGUGCAAAUUUUGAGAUUCACUCAGAUUGGGCUAAUAUACAUGUUAAUAGUGAUGUUUUCUAUUACAUAUGGGGAAAAGAAGGGACUGAUGCUAACGUUACAGGUAGGAAUGUGGCGGAAUACAAAAGAAAGUGGGAAGAUUAUCGCAGUUCCACAUCUUUUUCCAGUGCCACAUCUCCCUCCUCUAGUAGCACAGAGA
rnacentral:lncRNA from 1 species